ACUAGGACUUCACCAGAAAGCAGUGAUAAUUUCAUAGAACAAAAAAACAACCAUUUUUGAUAUGCUUAGGACUUUAUUCAGCAAGUUGGACAGUGCAUCCGCCCACAACUAAUAGAUGAUUGAUUUCCUAUUUUACAUUGUGGAAGAACACCAUCCCAUUGAAUGCAAAAUUUUGCAGGAAGCCAAUAAUGCAGAGCAUAAGGUGCCA
rnacentral:misc_RNA from 1 species